rnacentral:rRNA from 1 species
GACGAACGCUGGCGGCGUGCCUAAUACAUGCAAGUCGAGCGAACAGAUGAGGAGCUUGCUCCUCUGACGUUAGCGGCGGACGGGUGAGUAACACGUGGGCAACCUGCCCUGCAGAUUGGGAUAACUCCGGGAAACCGGGGCUAAUACCGAAUAACAAAAAGAAUCUCCUGAUUCUUUUUUGAAAGGCGGCUUUUAGCUGUCACUGCAGGAUGGGCCCGCGGCGCAUUAGCUAGUUGGUGAGGUAACGGCUCACCAAGGCAACGAUGCGUAGCCGACCUGAGAGGGUGAUCGGCCACACUGGGACUGAGACACGGCCCAGACUCCUACGGGAGGCAGCAGUAGGGAAUCUUCCGCAAUGGACGAAAGUCUGACGGAGCAACGCCGCGUGAGUGAAGAAGGUUUUCGGAUCGUAAAGCUCUGUUGUCAGGGAAGAACAAGUACCAUAGUAACUGAUGGUACCUUGACGGUACCUGACCAGAAAGCCACGGCUAACUACGUGCCAGCCGCCGCAGUAAAA